rnacentral:lncRNA from 1 species
GGCAGAUGAAAAAACAGAAUGGCAGAGAGAAAGGUGAAGGGAUAAAGUUCUUUCCAACACUGCGAUCGCAUGGUGCUACAGUGAAUAAGGGGCUCAUGUGGAGAGAAGGAGAGCUUUUCUGGAUUUUGAAGGCAGCAAGUUAAGGACUGCGAGG